rnacentral:rRNA from 1 species
GGCAGCAGUGGGGAAUAUUGCACAAUGGGCGAAAGCCUGAUGCAGCCAUGCCGCGUGUGUGAAGAAGGCCUUCGGGUUGUAAAGCACUUUCAGCGAGGAGGAAAGGUUAGUGGUUAAUAGCCACUAGCUGUGACGUUACUCGCAGAAGAAGCACCGGCUAACUUCGUGCCAGCAGCCGCGGUAAUACGAGGGGUGCAAGCGUUAAUCGGAAUUACUGGGCGUAAAGCGCGCGUAGGUGGUUUGUUAAGCAAGAUGCGAAAGCCCUGGGCUCAACCUGGGAACUGCAUUUUGAACUGGCAAGCUAGAGUUUUGUAGAGGGUAGUGGAAUUUCCAGUGUAGCGGUGAAAUGCGUAGAGAUUGGAAGGAACAUCAGUGGCGAAGGCGGCUACCUGGACAAAGACUGACACUGAGGCACGAAAGCGUGGGGAGCAAACAGGAUUAGAUACCCUGGUAGUCCACGCCGUAAACGAUGUCAACUAGCCGUCUGUAGACUUGAUCUGUGGGUGGCGUAGCUAACGCGCUAAGUUGACCGCCUGGGGAGUACGGCCGCAAGGUUAAAACUCAAAGGAAUUGACGGGG